rnacentral:tRNA from 1 species
GCGGGUAUAACUCAGUGGCAGAGUGCGUGCCUAGCAAGCACGAGGUCUGGGUUCGAUCCCAAAUACCUCCA